AAUAUCAAUAAUAAUAACAUGUAUGGUUUUGUUGCACAAUUCCAGAAUGUGGAAAUCACAUGAUUUUUCUGAACAGCAGGCCUUUUCCAGUUAAAUGAAACACAAAUAAUCUUGUUUUUAAUUCACAUAUUUAUUUUAGAAAUGUUAACACACUCUUAACUUUUUUUACUGUGCAAUGGCUCACUGGUAAUCAAGUUUAACCCAGCAACAAGCAGACCAAUAGGAACUGACUCUGCAGCUUGCCUGCUGCUGCCCACUGAUGCUCAUCGCGAAGUCUGCAGAGAGCAUGGACGACGCGGUCUUUUCUUCGACGGCCUAACAUUGUUGUACACUUUUCCCGCUGUUUUCGCAUUUUGCGGGUAUUUCCCCAAUUGAAGACGAAGGUGACGUUACUAACUUCACAGCGGGCCGCUCUUCAGAACAUCUUGCCUUCGACGACGAGGAGAGUUGGUUGACCACUGCCUUUGGUAUGUCACAUCUCACACAUGCAACCUUAGUUUGAGGUAGUUUGUGAGUGUGUGCACAGUGGUCAUGUAGAGUUUUUGCUUACCGUGUUACAAAUUCAGAGUGCAGUUAUUACUUACAGUGUUAUUACUUAGAGUUCCUAGCUUGUUCUAGUAUUCUUAGAUAUCAUGUGACGUCACACAGUGGUCGCAGCGCCAUCUGUAGGACCAAGUACCAAAAUGCCGUCUAUCUGCUGUGCUGUGGGCUGUGAUAACAGCAAAUCUAAAAGUAAUGGAUUACCAUUUUACAAUAUCCCCCAAAACCCUGAGCGUCGUGAGAAAUGGAUUGCUGUUAUCAGGAGGGAUCACUGGACUCCUACAGAACACUCCAGGCUGUGCAGUGAGCACUUUAUUUAGGGCAAGAAAAGCAAUAAUCCUCUGAGCCCCGAUUACGUGCCAAGUCUGUUUGCAUACCUGUCACCUGAGCACCGCCAAAAAAAAAUCAAUUGCCACAAGAAAUUUGAACAAACCCAAGCUGUCAAAAGGAAGAGAAGGUAUACCCAGGACGAUCUGACAACGUCACACUGUGAUAACAGUAACGUUAUUGACAUGGACAUUAACUGCUGUGACAGCAUUCCUGAGAGCGGGCAGAGUGGGGAACACAGCUACUGUAAAGACCCCAUCGAUAGUGAGAGCAGUGUAGCAUGCUCCAAUGAAGCCUGCCAAGCAGCUGUAAAGAAACUGACUGAAGAGUGUACCAGAUUGAGGUCUAUCAGCUUCGGGACAGGGUAAGAAGGUCAUCUUUCCAGCAGGAGGCCUUCAAGGACAAUGAUGAGAUGGUGCAGGACUUAACUGGACUCCCAUCCUAUGCCAAGAUGAUGGUCAUCUUUACCUUCUUGUCAGGAUACCUAAAGGGGGGGCCUGGGAUCUCUCCUUUUCACUGCUUUUUAAUGACUCUAAUGAGAAUGAGAUUGAAUUUACCACUGCACUUCCUCACAUAUAUAUUUCUUGUAUCAAAGCCUACUGUAAGCCGUAUUUUUAAUAAUACACUAAAUAUAAUGUACA